rnacentral:misc_RNA from 1 species
AUGCGAUACGUAAUGUGAAUUGCAGAAUUCAGUGAAUCAUCGAAUCUUUGAACGCAUAUUGCGCUCUUUGGUAUUCCGAAGAGCAUGCUUGUUUGAGUAUCAGUAAACACCUCAAAACUCUUGAUCUUUUUCAAGCGUUUUGGACUUGAGCAAACCCAACGCCUUUUCUUUUAAGAUCUGUUGCGGCGGGUUGCUUGAAAUGCAGGUGCAGCUGGACAAUCUCCUGAGCUAAAAGCAUAUUUAUUUAGUCCCGUCAAACGGAUUAUUACUUUUUGCUGCAGCUAACAUAAAGGGAGUUUUGACCAUUAUGGCUGACUGAUGCAGGAUUUCACAGAGAAAAGGCCGGCAACGGUUUUGUCUCUGUCAAACUCGAUCUCAAAUCAAGUAAGACUACCCGCUGAACUUAA